AUACGCAGGGGGCGAGCGUUGUCCGGAAUGAUUGGGCGUAAAGGGCGCGUAGGCGGCCCGGUAAGUCUGGAGUGAAAGUCCUGUUUUUAAGAUGGGAAUUGCUUUGGAUACUGUCGGGCUUGAGUGCAGGAGAGGUAAGUGGAAUUCCCAGUGUAGCGGCGAAAUGCGUAGAGAUUGGGAGGAAUACCGGUGGCGAAGGCGGUCAUCUGGCUCAUUAUUGACGCUGAAGCACGAAAGCGUAGGUAGCGAACAGGAUUAGAUACCCUGGUAGUCUACGCUGUAAACGAUGUAUGCUUGGUGUUAUGCGUUUAUGCGCGUAGUGCCGUAGGAAAUCUGGUAAGCAUACCACCUGGGGAGUACGAAUGCAAGUUUGAAACUCAAAUGAAUUGACGGGG
rnacentral:rRNA from 1 species